rnacentral:lncRNA from 1 species
GGUGACUUUUUCUUCUGGGUACCGCACUCAAAAAUUUGCCAGAGUAUAUAAUUGUGUUGAUUUAGCAAAAGAUGGAGAAGGUGAAAUGAAGAAAUAGAAUAAAAUAGCAGUAAGCAACAAAGCAUACACUCCACUAAUGGGUAACAUAUCAAUUGGAAAUGACUUACGUAUUCGAAUCAAUGCCUCUUCAUUCAGAUGUGAAAAUGGAAGAAUGGGUUCAGCUGAAAGAAACCCCAAACCCAGAAAAUGCAAAAGGGAAAAUGGAAAUUACUCCUAUAUGGCUA